AACGAACGCUGGCGGCAUGCCUAACACAUGCAAGUCGAACGAGACCUUCGGGUCUAGUGGCGCACGGGUGCGUAACGCGUGGGAACCUGCCCUUAGGUUCGGAAUAACUCCCCGAAAGAGGUGCUAAUACCGGAUAAUGUCUUCGGACCGAAGAUUUCUCGCCUUUGGAUGGGCCCGCGUUGGAUUAGCUAGUUGGUAGGGUAAAAGCCUACCAAGGCGACGAUCCAUAGCUGGUCUGAGAGGAUGAUCAGCCACACUGGGACUGAGACACGGCCCAGACUCCUACGGGAGGCAGCAGUGGGGAAUAUUGGACAAUGGGCGAAAGCCUGAUCCAGCAAUGCCGCGUGAGUGAUGAAGGCCUUAGGGUUGUAAAGCUCUUUUACCCGGGAUGAUAAUGACAGUACCGGGAGAAUAAGCUCCGGCUAACUCCGUG
rnacentral:rRNA from 1 species